rnacentral:rRNA from 1 species
GACAGAGGUGCCGAGCGUUAGGCGGAAUCACUGGGCUUAAAGCGUGUGUAGGCGGGCCGUUAAGUAUCUUGUGAAAUCCCCCGGCUCAACCGGGGAAUGGCUGGAUAUACUGGCGGUCUUGAGCGAUCUAGGGGCAGAUGGAACAAGUGGUGGAGCGGUGAAAUGCGUAGAUAUCACUUGGAACGCCAAAGGUGAAAACAGUCUGCUGGGGAUCUGCUGACGCUGAGACACGAAAGCCAGGGGAGCGAACGGG